rnacentral:lncRNA from 1 species
GGUCACUCACCCCCACCGAGUUCACUCUGUCACUCACACCCGCCGAGUUCACCGAGUCGUUUUACCCCACCGAGUCGACUCAGUCAUUCACUCCUACCUGGUCGACUCAGUCAUUCACUCCCACCGAGUCGACUCAGUCGUUCUCUCCCACCUGGUCGACUCAGCCAUUCACUCCCACCGAGUCGACUCAGUCAUCCUUCAGCUUCCCCACCGAGUUAGGCACCAACUCAGUGAUGGGGUUUGGAAUUUCUCAGCCGCCAAGCUUUGGUGCAGCC